GAUUACCCCUUGUACCUUUGCAUAAUGAAUUAACUAGUAUAAGACUUAACAAAAUGAAUUUUAGCUAAGCAGCCCGAAACCAGACGAGCUACUCACAAACAGUUUACCAAGAACUAACUCAUCUAUGUGGCAAAAUAGUGAGAAGAUUUGUAAGUAGAGGUGACAUGCCUAACGAGCCUGGUGAUAGCUGGUUGUCCAGAAAAUGAAUCUAAGUUCAGCUUUAAAGAUACCAAAAAUUCAAAUAAACCCCACUGUAGCUUUAAAGAGUUAGUCUAAAAAGGUACAGCCUUUUAGAAACGGAUACAACCUUGACUAGAGAGUAAAAUUUAACACUACCAUAGUAGGCCUAAAAGCAGCCAUCAAUUUAAGAAAAAGGCGUUUAAAGGCUCAACAAACAAAAAUUAAAUAGAUUCCAACAACAAAUGGAUUAAACUUCCUAGCCCCCAAAUACUGGACUAAUCUAUUAUAGAAUAGAAGCAUAAUGUUAUAUGAGUAACAAGAAAAAUUU
rnacentral:rRNA from 1 species